rnacentral:rRNA from 1 species
UACGAAGGGGGCUAGCGUUGCUCGGAAUCACUGGGCGUAAAGGGUGCGUAGGCGGGUUUUUAAGUCAGGGGUGAAAUCCUGGAGCUCAACUCCAGAACUGCCUUUGAUACUGAAGAUCUUGAGUCCGGGAGAGGUGAGUGGAACUGCGAGUGUAGAGGUGAAAUUCGUAGAUAUUCGCAAGAACACCAGUGGCGAAGGCGGCUCACUGGCCCGAUACUGACGCUGAGGCACGAAAGCGUGGGGAGCGAACGGG